UACAUGGGGUGCAAACGUUGCUCGGAAUUAUUGGGCGUAAAGCGCGCGUAGGCGGUUACUCAAGUCGGAUGUGAAAGCCCUCGGCUUAACUGAGGAAGUGCACCCGAAACUGAGUAGCUAGAGUACUAAAGAGGGUCGCGGAAUUCCCGGUGUAGAGGUGAAAUUCGUAGAUAUCGGGAGGAACACCGGUGGCGAAGGCGGCACACUGGACCACCACUGACGCUGAUGCGCGAAAGCCAGGGGAGCAAACGGG
rnacentral:rRNA from 1 species